UGGGGAAUUUUGGACAAUGGGCGAAAGCCUGAUCCAGCAAUGCCGCGUGUGUGAAGAAGGCCUUCGGGUUGUAAAGCACUUUUGUCCGGAAAGAAAUCCUUGGCUCUAAUACAGUCGGGGGAUGACGGUACCGGAAGAAUAAGCACCGGCUAACUACGUGCCAGCAGCCGCGGUAAUACGUAGGGUGCAAGCGUUAAUCGGAAUUACUGGGCGUAAAGCGUGCGCAGGCGGUUUGCUAAGACCGAUGUGAAAUCCCCGGGCUCAACCUGGGAACUGCAUUGGUGACUGGCAGGCUAGAGUAUGGCAGAGGGGGGUAGAAUUCCACGUGUAGCAAUGAAAUGCGUAGAGAUGUGGAGGAAUACCGAUGGCGAAGGCAGCCCCCUGGGCCAAUACUGACGCUCAUGCACGAAAAGCGUGGGGAGCAAACAGGAUUAGAUACCCUGGUAGUCCACGCCCUAAAACGAUGUCAACUAGUUGUUGGGGAUUCAUUUCCUUAGUAACGUAGCUAAACGCGUGAAGUUGACCGCCUGGGGAGUACGGUCGCAAGAUUAAAACUCAAAUGAAUUGACGGGGUCAUAGCUGUUUCCU
rnacentral:rRNA from 1 species